rnacentral:rRNA from 1 species
AGUGAACGCUGGCGGCGUGCUUAACACAUGCAAGUCGAACGAGAACGGAUUAUAGCUUGCUAUAAUUGUCAGCUAAGUGGCGCGCGGGUGAGUAAUGUAUAGGUAAUAUGCCUCUUACUAAGGGAUAACAAAUGGAAACGUUUGCUAAUACCUUAUACUCCUUAUUAACAGAAGUUAAUAAGGGAAAGAUUUAUUGGUAAGAGAUUAGCCUGUAUUGUAUCAGUUAGUUGGUGGGGUAAUGGCUUACCAAGACUAUGACACAUAACUGGUUUGGGAGGAUGAUCAGUCACACUGGAACUGAGACACGGUCCAGACUCCUACGGGAGGCAGCAGUGGGGAAUAUUGCACGAUGGACGAAAGUCUGAUGCAGCAACGCCGCGUGGAGGAUGACACAUUUCGGUGCGUAAACUCCUUUUAUAUGAGAAGAUAAUGACGGUAUUAUAUGAAUAAGCACCGGCUAACUCCGUGCCAGCCGCCGCAGUAA